GUUGCUAAUGCCGUCUCCACGAGUACUACUACGUCUACGUGGUGCCCAGAUGGAAGAUAUGCAAGCCAGAACGGAGAUUGUCUACUGUGUUAUGACUAUUGUCAUAGAUCCGGCUGCACAGGACCGUCAGCUUUUGUUGGACCAGGUGGUUGCCGAAACUGCUGGAAAGGUUUGGAAAUAAAUUCGACCCAUAUAAAAUGCAUUAUUCCAUAUUUGGAAGGAUGUGCUGAAGGUUAUUAUCUGAAGCAAAUACCUACGCACCAAAGCCUUCCCUUGUCUGGUUCUGAGGUGUGCCUGCGCUGUCAUGAACUCUGCUCUUCGUGUCUCGGGCCGGGUGUAUCUUACUGCGUCAAGUGUAAAUACUACAAAUUAUAUAACAUCUGCGUCCGUUACUGUCCUUCCGGUACACAGGCGGAUCAACAGAAUCGUCGUUGUAUCGAUCCUAGCAACAAUCGAAGGCAAACAUUGAUUCGUUACCUUUACAACUCAAAGCUGAAUACCACAACAUCAUCAUCAUCAUCAUCAACAGCAGCAGCAUUAUCAUCGUCUACACCUCAACAGUAAUAAACAGAAAUUGAAAUAUUUCAUUCGCGAAUAAACACUUUAAAGCAAGCAUGGAGAAUUUAAAGU
rnacentral:lncRNA from 1 species